AUGGCCAUGCGCGUGCACAUGUGGAUGAUUGGCCCUCCCUUCCUCGUCUCCGGCGUGUUCGGGUAUGUCGAUGUUGUCAAGUGGGCGUGCCUUGCUGAAGUGAGACCGGCGGUAGUACCCAGCAGCCAGCGAGUCUAUCACCAUUGUGGCCAUGGCUGCAGACAUGGCCACAAGUCCCGCAAAAGGGAAGCCGUUUCUGUCCCCGCCGCCUUUGUGGAUGCACGGGGAGGUGAGCCCGUCGAAAGCCGCUGGCAGGAUGUGCACCAUGCCGGUGGCAAGGAUGACACCGGCCGCGAACGCCUUGACCGCGAAGAAGAUGUCGCCGUCGGGGCGCAGCGCGGCCAUGGAGCGGCCGAGCACCGGCACCAGCACGCCAGCCGCCCCGGCGGUCAGGAUGGACGCGAUGGCGACCAGCUUCAGCUUCGUCGCGCCCUGCUUGUCCGCCCCGUCCGUGGCGGUCGUGCACUCGCACCCGCCGCUGGCCGCCGCGGCCUGGUGCACGAACAGGAGGAGCCAUGGGAGAAGCGCUUGCAAGGUGUGCUUGGUAGCCCACAUCGCGGUGUGACUCUGCUGAAUUGCUGA
rnacentral:rRNA from 1 species